GUGGUGUAGUCUACGUGAUACGCAGGUAUACGCCGUAUACCCACUAGAAAAUGUCAAGGAUUUGCGUAUGCCCACUAGGAAAUGUCAAAGAUCUCCGUAUGCCCACUUUAAAAAGCGUGAGGAUUCGCAUAGAUUCGUGACA